rnacentral:rRNA from 1 species
UACGGAGGGUGCAAGCGUUUAUCCGGAUUCACUGGGUUUAAAGGGUGCGUAGGCGGGCAGGUAAGUCAGUGGUGAAAUCUCCGGGCUUAACCCGGAACUGCCGUUGAUACUAUCUGUCUUGAAUAUCGUGGAGGUAAGCGGAAUAUGUCAUGUAGCGGUGAAAUGCUUAGAUAUGACAUAGAACACCCAUUGCGAAGGCAGCUUACUACACGAUCAUUGACGCUGAGGCACGAAAGCGUGGGGAGCAAACAGG